AAGGGAUGACGCAACAGUGCAAAGCAACUGGGAAACAGGACCUGCUUCCGCUUCUCUUUCCCAUCGAUAAAAUCAGCCAAGCAAAAACAUCUUCCUGCUGUGUCAGAAUACAUGUAGAAUGAAAGACAACACACAGAGGAGCCCGCUCCCUUUGUCAUUAGGACCAAUGCCUGCAAGUCACAAGCAAGCUGGGAUGGCAUCCCAGGGCUCUCUGGGAGGCCCAGCCACGGGGUGAAGCUCUGGCUCAACUCAGCUACUUCCAACAACCGACCGAG